rnacentral:rRNA from 1 species
GACGAACGCUGGCGGCGUGCUUAACACAUGCAAGUCGAACGGUGAAGCGCCUUCCUUUUUGGUGGGUGUGGUUGAGUGGCGAACGGGUGAGUAACACGUGAGUAACCUGCCCCCUUCUUCUGGAUAACCGCAUGAAAGUGUGGCUAAUACGGGAUAUUCUGGGUCUGUCGCAUGAUGGGUCUGGGAAAGAUAUUGUUUCGGUGGGGGAUGGGCUCGCGGCCUAUCAGCUUGUUGGUGGGGUGAUGGCCUACCAAGGCGGUGACGGGUAGCCGGCCUGAGAGGGUGGACGGUCACACUGGGACUGAGACACGGCCCAGACUCCUACGGGAGGCAGCAGUGGGGAAUAGUGCACAAUGGGCGCAAGCCUGAUGCAGCGACGCCGCGUGAGGGAUGGAGGCCUUCGGGUUGUGAACCUCUUUCGCCAGUGAAGCAGGCCUGCCUCGUUUGUGGGUGGGUUGACGGUAGCUGGAUAAGAAGCGCCGGCUAACUACGUG